AGUAGGAUAACUGGGUCAUCUGGUGUUUCCAUUCCUAGUCUUUUAAGGAAUCUCCAUACUGCUUACCAGAGUGGUUGCACCAACUUGCAGUCUCACCAGCAAU
rnacentral:pre_miRNA from 1 species